GGACGAACCCUUGGAGAGAUCCAAGGUACUUUUAAAGCGUUUACUUUCAAGGUAACGACUUUUUAAGUGCUAAUGGACGCCGAAGGCGCAAAGAAGCUUGAUUCCAUCAGGCUUUUCAAACGCUCAGGCAAAAGGACAGGGGCAGGAGA
rnacentral:ncRNA from 2 species